rnacentral:rRNA from 1 species
UACGAAGGGGGCUAGCGUUGUUCGGAAUUACUGGGCGUAAAGCGCACGUAGGCGGGUCGUUAAGUCAGGGGUGAAAUCCCGGAGCUCAACUCCGGAACUGCCUUUGAUACUGGCGAUCUUGAGAUCGGAAGAGGUGAGUGGAAUUCCCAGUGUAGAGGUGAAAUUCGUAGAUAUUGGGAAGAACACCAGUGGCGAAGGCGGCUCACUGGUCCGAUACUGACGCUGAGGUGCGAAAGCGUGGGGAGCAAACAGGG